GAUGAACGCUGGCGGCGUGCUUAACACAUGCAAGUCGAACGGUGAAGGCGGAGCUUGCUCUGCUGGAUCAGUGGCGAACGGGUGAGUAACACGUGAGCAAUCUGCCCCUGACUCUGGGAUAAGCGCUGGAAACGGCGUCUAAUACUGGAUACGAGCUGCGAAGGCAUCUUCAGCAGCUGGAAAGAACUUCGGUCAGGGAUGAGCUCGCGGCCUAUCAGCUUGUUGGUGAGGUAACGGCUCACCAAGGCGUCGACGGGUAGCCGGCCUGAGAGGGUGACCGGCCACACUGGGACUGAGACACGGCCCAGACUCCUACGGGAGGCAGCAGUGGGGAAUAUUGCACAAUGGGCGAAAGCCUGAUGCAGCAACGCCGCGUGAGGGACGACGGCCUUCGGGUUGUAAACCUCUUUUAGCAGGGAAGAAGCGAAAGUGACGGUACCUGCAGAAAAAGCGCCAGCUAACUACGUG
rnacentral:rRNA from 1 species